rnacentral:rRNA from 1 species
UACGUAGGGGGCUAGCGUUGUCCGGAAUCAUUGGGCGUAAAGCGCGCGUAGGCGGCCCGGUAAGUCCGUUGUAAAAGUCAAAGGCUCAACCUUUGAAAGCCGAUGGAUACUGUCGGGCUAGAGUUCGGAAGAGGCGAGUGGAAUUCCCGGUGUAGCGGUGAAAUGCGCAGAUAUCGGGAGGAACACCAAUGGCGAAGGCAGCUCGCUGGGACGUUACUGACGCUGAGACGCGAAAGCGUGGGGAGCAAACAGG